rnacentral:lncRNA from 1 species
UAUAUUAAAAGAUUAAGGUGUGGAUGGUUGCUUCUUUUACCUCUGUAGAUGAAGAUGUGACGAGAAGAUUAUUUUAUUAAUGUUGAAAGAGGUAGAUACUCACAAUAGAGAAUGAAAUUCAAAUCGAAAAAUCAAGAGGCUCACUCAUAAGAGGAGAAGUAGGAGUUUCUCCAACUCUACUUUUAAUUCAAGGAGAGCUAAAUUCCCCAA